GAAAGAAUAAAAAAAAUAAAAAAAACCAGUAUUACUGUUGGGGCAAAACAGUGUUUUGCUAAGCAGUGUCCAUUGAAGAUAUUGUACAGUUCAGUGUACUUAAUUUUUAGUGAAGGAUAUUCCUAUAUGUGUAUAUAAUAUGCAUAUCAAAUAUCCCUCUUGUCCAUAACCUAGGUCCUAUGAUCAUGCAGUAGGCUGCAGUUUCAAAAGUAUUAUUUGAAUCAACUGCAUUUUGUCAAUGUUGGAAAAAAAAAUGUUUGAAUCUAUCGCAAUAUGGUGUGUUGUGGUCUUGGUCGAUUUUUAUUUUGUUUCUUGUUUGUAUAUUAUUUUUGUUCUUUCUUUCUUUCUGGUACAACAUGCUGGCCUUAGACUCCAUACACAGCCCAAAAUGGAGUCUAUAAUCUUGUGUUUUUUUCUGUUUUGCUUUAUUUUUUUCCCCUCUUGUGGACCUGUGAAAGGUCAGUGUCCUCAUCUCAGCGAUAUGUUUACAUGCAGCCCUGGCUUCCCCUGGUGAAGGAUCACAUAAUCGUCAUAUCAGCUGUGUCACUCAGUUGGUUCGUCUGUGCAAGUCCACCCCAUGGUUUCCCCAUUUGUCCUGUUGCGUCAUUCAGUGUCAAACAGUAGAUUUUUUUUUUUCGUCGUCGUUCUCUAACCUGCUAGCUUGUAGUCCUCCUCAGUAAUGUGAGAAGUUGUGAGAAUCUUCUAUCCGCAAGGCCAUUUUACAACAGUCCUCAAUCAGGGUAGACAUCAUGGUAAAUGUGUCUCUCUCCUUACGCAACUUGCGAGCUGAGAUCGUUAACUCACCUCGGUAUCAUUUGGAUCCAACAUGCAGCUCCCUCCUAAACUGUGAACGCUUGAAUUGAGUGUUUUUUUAUUUUGUCAGCAUCGGCAUACGGUACUCAACUAUCCCCUCAGACUGUAACAGGUGCUAUGGAUUGUGUCUAGGACUUCCCUCAGCUGCUAUUACAUGGCUCUCUGUGGCACUGUAAGGAGCUCUUCAUCCUUCUGAACAGCGUGAUGAUAUGUGACCGCACUCAACAUAACAUUGAGCAUCUGUAUCAGUUCAGGCAUACUGUACAUUGUCAUUCUUUAUGUUUGAACAGAAAGGGGCGCUGGGUCGUCUAAAGCCAACAUCACCACAGUCAGCCAACUGUGGAAUGGCCCACAUACUCUUGACACUUGGCAUAGCUCAAGCAGGUAUGGUGGAGCCCAUAAGGAUGGCUUCUGUGGCUUAUUCCCAAGACAUGGCUAUGUGUCGAGUUAUGAACACGCGCACACACACGCACACACCGCCCAGAUUUGGCAUGCUAACUGCAGGUGUUUAACCUGCCCCAACAUGGCAUUAAGACAGCAGAGGUGAUUGCGGUUUACCCAAAUCCUGGCAACUGAAGUCAACCAGGAGAUGUUUCAAAAACAAUUACUGCUGUUAUUGAAAUCAAAAUGUUAGGAGAGAGAGAGUAAUCAUUAUUCAAAAAUGUUGGCCAUUGAUUGGUGGAAUAUUUGGACAACUUUAUAAGUUUUCAGAAAGUGUUGAACUAUUUGUUUUGAAUACAUUAUCAUGCUAGCUAUCAACACGUAUAUCGUUAUGGUACAAUAUGUAUCCUUAACAUGCCCCCUAUUAAAUUACAAAAGGGUUUGGUGUUAAGGACCUGUACGUAAUUAGCUGUACGUUAUUUUGUCCACACACCCUUGUUUACAAAAUCAAGUAGUCAAAAUGUCAACUCUUAAAUUUGUUCCUCAUAAGCGAAAAAAAAAGAAGUAUAAAACAAAACAAAAAGACAUUAUGCAGGCAAGGGAGCUCAGUUUCUAAAAUAAGCAAGGUGGGACACUACGUUUACCACGUUAGUCAACAUGUGGCCCUUAUCCUAGUAGGCUAGGCCUAUUUGUGACAACGUGGUUAUAUACCGCUGGCUAAAUAAUAUUUAAAAAGUAAUUUGCGCUCUACCAUGUCAAGACAGACUGGUGUUUUGGUAGAGCUUUUAAUUGAGAGCUAGCUGGGGCAGAAUGGCAACAUACCUGAUCUUGGGGGCUGAUGACCUGUGUCACUUUUUGACAUUCGCUCACUUAGCCUGCAUAUGUCAUUGUCAGCGGAUCGUGUUUUACAAAACGCAGAUUUAAAGUUUUAAAAGUGACAUUUUCUAACGUGAGAUUGGAAGUUAUUAUUAUCUUGAUAGGCUUGGCAACUAAUGUGAUAUGAUUUCAUACAAGACUGUAUUUUCAACGUUUCUGAAUGAGUCAAGUUGACGUAACGACAAAGCAUGGCUGAAUAUUCCAAUUAUAUUGUCUCGCGCUCGAACAUCGUGCACGCUGGCCCUGACCAGAGCCCAGGAGGAGACGCAGGCUGCGUAGGGAGCUCUUGUGUGUUUUUGCGUCUCAUUUCACCUUUCUUGAAAUCGGUUGUCGGUGAUGAAAUCCUCUCUAGGCAGGUUAUGGUGUCCUGAGCACCAGAUCACUCAACACUAAUGCAUUGAAAAUUUAUGUUGAAUGUUUUUUUUUUCCCCCUCUAUUAAGUUCUGGUUUUGUUUUGUUUUGGCUUUUUUACACCUUCAAAUGUGGCCUAUUCUUAGCUGGCUAUGUGUUAUACCUCUUUUUGUACAAAAUAAGUAAA
ensembl:lncRNA